AUUGAACGCUGGCGGCAUGCCUUACACAUGCAAGUCGAACGGUAACAGGUCUUCGGAUGCUGACGAGUGGCGAACGGGUGAGUAAUACAUCGGAAUGUGCCUAGUAGUGGGGGAUAACUACUCGAAAGAGUGGCUAAUACCGCAUGAGAUCUACGGAUGAAAGAAGGGGAACGCAAGACCUUGUGCUACUAGAGCGGCCGAUGGCAGAUUAGGUAGUUGGUGGGAUAAAAGCUUACCAAGCCGACGAUCUGUAGAUGGUCUGAGAGGACGAUAAGCCACACUGGGACUGAGAAACGGCCCAGGCUCCUACGGGAGGCAGCAGUGGGGAAUUUUGGACAAUGGGCGCAAGCCUGAUCCAGCAAUGCCGCGUGCAGGAAGAAGGCCUUCGGGUUGUAAACUGCUUUUGUCAGGGAAGAAAUCUUCUGGGCUAAUACCCCGGGAGGAUGACGGUACCUGAAGAAUAAGCACCGGCUAACUACGUGCCAGCCGCCGCCGUAA
rnacentral:rRNA from 1 species